rnacentral:rRNA from 1 species
CCAAAAAUCUAGCCCCCCCCCCCCCUCCACUCACAUUCAACACCCAAUCAAAAUAUUUUAACAGUUUAGUAAAGAAGAUUAAAAAAUUUCUAAGAGCUAUAAAUAUGUACCGCAAGGGAAAGAUGAAAUAAAAAUGAAAUAAAUAUUAAGCACAAAAAAUUAGAGACUCCACCUCGUACCUUUUGCAUCAUGGUUUAGCUAGUUUUAUUAGGCAAAAAGCCCAUUAAGUCUAACCCCCCGAAACUAAGUGAGCUACUUUAGGGCCGCUUAAUGAGCUAACCCGUCUAUGUUGCAGAAUAGUGGGAAGACCCUAAAAUAGAGGUGAAAAACCUAACGAACUUAGUCAUAGCUGGUUUCUCAAUAAAAGAAUCUUAGUUCAGCCUAAAGUAUACACACCCACACAUAAAUAACCUUUUUACUUUAGAGUAACUCAAAUAAGGUACAGCCUAUUUGACACAGAACACAACCUUAACUAAUGGGUAACACUUAACCACGUUUAUAAGUAGGCCUAAGAGCAGCCACCUUUAAAAAAGCGUCAAAGCUUAAUUAUGUUUAUCCUAAUUUCUUAACCCAACACUAGAACCCUUUAACCACACUGAGAACUUCUAUAAAGUUAUAGAACAUUUUAUGCUAAAACUAGUAACAAGAGAUCACCCCUCUCUAUAAUGCAAGUAUAGGCCAGCAAGAACCCACCACUGGCAGCCAACAGACAUAGUAGCAACCCUCCCCAGAAAACCCUACUUCACCCAACUGUUAACCUAAUACCAGAGCAUUUCAAGAAAGAUUAAAAGAAAGAGAAGGAAUUCCGCAAACAUUAGCCUCGCCUGUUUACCAAAAACAUCGCCUUUUGCCCACACCCAUAAAAGGUCUAGCCUGCCCAGUGACUCUGUUCAACGGCCGCGGUAUCCUAACCGUGCAAAGGUAGCGUAAUCACUUGUCUUCUAAAUAGAGACCAGUAUGAAAGGCAUCACGAGGGCUAAACUGUCUCCUCUCCCUAAUCAGUGAACCUAAUAACCCCGUGAAGAAGCGGGGAUUUUUACAUAAGACGAGAAGACCCUAUGGAGCUUAAAACAUUACCUCACCUGCCACCAUAUUAUCCACUCCGGUUCACUUCACCCCCAAGCACCCUGACUACAUGUUUUUGGUUGGGGUGACCGCGGAGAAAAACCUAUCCUCCACAAUGAAAAAUAUUUCUAAACAAAAAGCUACAGCUUUAUGUAUCAGCAAACUGUCAUCAUUGACCCAAUAUAAUUGAUUAACGAACCAAGUUACCCUAGGGAUAACAGCGCAAUCCACUUCAAGAGCCCCUAUCGACAAGUGGGCUUACGACCUCGAUGUUGGAUCGGGGUAUCCUAGUGGUGCAGCCGCUACUAAAGGUUCGUUUGUUCAACGAUUAAAACCCCACGUGAUCUGAGUUCAGACCGGAGUAAUCCAGGUCAGUUUCUAUCUAUAACAGCGCUUUUUUUAGUACGAAAGGACCAAAAUAGCAUGGCCAAUACCUUAAGCAAGCCAUAAUUAAUUACUUUAGAAUUCAUCUUAAAAAUAACUAAUCUAGCUUCACCUUCA